CACUCAAAUCCUCAUACAUCAUUGAAUAGCAGUAACACAGCAAUAUACUGAUAAGAUCUAAUACUACAAAUAUCCUACAGUAAGAGAAGAAGGAGAAUCUGGACGCACAGUAGUAGCAGAAAGUUCCUCAAGCCGUCGGUUUAAUGGCAGAAAGUAUACAAAAGCUUUUGAACAAGAAGAAAGCUAGCAGAUUGUGCUGGUCUUAUUGAACAAAGCUGGUCAAAGCUCUUAGAUUAUGCUGAAUUAAGGUGCAGUUUUGUGUCUUUCUUUGACAUUGAGAAACUUGAAAGUGCCAUUUCACGUUGGUCUAGAGCUAGAAUAAGACUUUCUAAGUUUAUGAAGCGAGGAUGAUGUAAUAUUCAGAUACAAUAACUACAGACCACUAUUCAUUUGGGACACUUCUAUCCGAAGAGCUUUAUGCCAGAGUUGAAGCACUUCCAAUCCAGGGUUGUUAUGAUACCGAUAUAUGGCCUUAAUCUACAUUUCUAUUAUGAUAAAUGGCUUCAGAGUCGGAGCAGAGAACCCUUUUCCUACUGCCUUCCAACAACUUCUAUGUUGCAAAAAGGAAUCAAAGCAUUUGAGUAUUCCAAUCGUUCUGGGAGAUAAUGAUAUUCAGGUUUAUUAUUAUGUCUAUUGUUAAUAUUAUUUUAUUUGCUAUUAUUAUUAAUAUUGGAGAUUUAAUAUUAUUAUGCAUAUAUUUUUGUUAUUAAUAUUAUUAUGCAUAUAUUUAUAUUAAUAUUAUUAUUAUUUUAUUAUUAUUAGAUGUAUAUUGUUAAUAUUGUUAUUAUUGGAUAGAUGAAUAUCCUAUUAUAAUUUAUUAUUAUUAGUUAAAAACAUAAGGCUAGGGAAGAUGCCAUCUAUAUAAUUAGAGUUAGUGUAAUAUUGAAUAUUAUAAUAAAUUGACACAUAGACAUAUAAGGUUGGGGAAGAUGCCAGAUAGAUAAUUAGAGUUAGGAUUGUGAUCAAGAUUGUCAUCAUGACAAUCUUCGGAAUCAAGUAGAAUAGAUUUAUUUACUGUUAUAAUAUUUGUUUAUUUAUUAACAAAAUAAUUAUUUCAAUCUACAUUUGUCAUGAGAGCAAAACGGAUAGAUGAAUUGCAGAAAUUGCAACCCUCUAGAUCGGUAUGUCAGCGUACACUAAAUGUAACAUAUAGUUUAUUUUAUUUGUUAGACAAAUAAAUAUAAUAGUUUUUAAUACUAAAAAAUUUGAUAAUCUUUAAUUUUUAUUAUCCAGAUAAAAGAUAUUACGAUGUAGGCUUUUUACGAAAUUUUCCGUGAUUUUAGAGAUAAGUAAGUGUUCUUAUUUCCUAAAUAUGUUAUUUAAAAUUAGUUUGCUUCUCAUUUCAUCUUCAAACUUGUGCAAAAAAACAGAUUUCACUCACACUCACACAAUGUUUCCCAACCCACAAACAACCAAGAAAAAUGUGAUUCAACACAACUUUGUUUCCAAGAAACAAAAUCAAUCACACUGUCACACAAACUCACGUUCACUCGUGUUUCCCUGUGUUUGGAACCAGAGCUAUAGAUACCAAUUGUUGGUGCACAAGAAUGAAAGAUGAUAACAAAGAGAAUAUACAAAAGAAUAACAACGCAAAAGAAUGAGAGAAUAAUUAUUGUGUUCUCUAAAUGAUAGCUACUACAAGGCUAUUUAUACAAAGAAAAUUUGUCACAUAAGCUCUAAUAGACUAAACUUAGUGAACAAGUUUAAGGUACAAACAAUACAAUACUAAGAAAUACUAAAGUACCUUUACUAACUAAAUAGCUAAGCUAACAGGAUCCAGAAGGUAGAACUUCUGGUCAACACUAUCUUCUGAGUAACCAUCAGAAGAUCAGUCCACAUCAGAAUUUUUGAUGCUCAUCUUCUGAAUAUGAAUUACUCUUUAAUACUAACCAUACAAAUUACAUUUACAAGAAAUAAUUGUUCAGCAAAACAAGAACAUUAGACUAUGAUAGUGGUUUACGCCUGUCAUUGAUACAAAAUAAGCAAUACACCAUAACAAUUUGGGAAAUGCUAACUAGUGCCCUCAGGGCAAUGGUUAAGCAUUCCAAAAUAGUAACUUUAUCUUGGUAAUCUGCGUAUUUAAUGUCUUGAAAAUUGAAAUAUUAGAUUUCCUAUAAUAUAUUUUCUUUUUUUGGAAUGUUUAACCAUUGCCUUGAGGGCACUGGUUAGCAAGACCCUAACAAUUUAGAUGUUGUUGUUUAGAGUUGCAUAAUACUUAUAUAUUCUUUUAUAUAUAUAGUCCAAAAAAGUAUAUGCACUAUAAGUAAUAAAGACACUAUGACUAUUUUGUAGGAGAUUUGGACAUGAUUAUUUGUUUUAUGACACUAACAUGAAGUGCAUAUUAACUAACAUAAAAAGUGUAACUUUGUAUCUUAAAAGUAAACUUCCUUGAGUUGUUGACUGUUUGUAGAGUUUUAAACUUCCUUGAAAUCCAAAAAAACAAUGAAGUAUAUUGAGAGGUCAUAAAAAUAAAUUUAAACUUCAGCAUGCAAACUAAAAUUUAUAUAGAUCUAUGUGAACCUGAUAAUAAUCAUGUAAAACAAUGAUUCAUUCAUUCAUUCCAAAAAAAGAGUAUUAAACUGCAUAUAGAGUUAAAUAAAAGGAACAAAAUACACAAUGGAAUUCAUUGCUACCAUCCAAGACUAAAUGACUUAACCUUAUUACUUGAGACGACCCACCCAAUCUUCUAGAGACACAGGCCUGGAAAAUUGUAGCAGAGGUGUUGGAAAAUUGCUUUAUAGUUAAUAUAAUACCUAACACCCCUACUACAAUUUUCACAAUACAUUUCUCAUCAAUUUUCACAUUCAAAACACAAAACACAGCAAGCAAAUAAUGAUUAAGGCAACAACAAGUAAGUUAUUUCAAUUCAAAGUGAAAUUGAGAGCAUAGAUAGCAAGUUUACCUCAAAAGAGUCAAGAGAAGACUUUGCACGAAGAAGGUCAGAGUAGAGAAGGUGAAAUCUGGUGAAAUCGUUGAAAUCGAAAUUGAGAGUAGAAUAAUCGCAGUCCUCUAGCUACUAUAGAAACCGCCGUAGCCUCCGCAAUCAAAGUCACUCGUCAAAGUAGAAACCACCACCGAAGAACCUCUCAAAAAAGCUUGAAUCCAUUGCCACUACGAAACCCAAAAUGCACUCAAAUUACAAAACACAGCAAACAAACAAUGAUUAAGACAACAGGUUUACCUCAAAAAGAGCUUAUGCGAACAAGAUCGGAGUAGAGAAGGUGAAAUCUAGUGAAAUCGUUGAAAUUGAAACCGAGUCGGAGUAGAGAAGGUGAAAUCGAAAUUGAAUGAAAGCUAAUAGAAGGUGAAAUUGAAAUUGAAAUUGAAGUUGAAUAUGAGUUGAAGAGAAAGGUGGAAAGGUGUUUUCUGAAAUUUGAGAAUUUAGGGUUUACGAUUCACAUAUUUGGGGAAGAACUGAGUAACGUGAAAAUGUAUAAAUAGUGAAAAAAAAAUGUAAUUAAAUUAAUUAUCAUUUUAGUAUAACGAUUUUGAAAAAAAAUGCAAAUAACCAAGUUUAAAAAAAAAAUUGCCCAAAAAACCAGGUUUUGGGGAAAAUUACCUGGAUGACCAUGUUUGGGAGAUGCCCUACACGUAAGAGCCACCUCCCGUGGUGCCUAGCUUGAAACUUUUCUUCUUAUGCGCCACCUGGGGUGGCGCCUUAGUUCUUCCAGAACUAAUAAGCCACCUGGGGUGGCGCCUAUGUGGUGUUCCCCGUUUUUUUUUUGUUUUUUGUUUUUGUUUUUUUAACAUUAUUUUAAAAAAAUCUAUUAAAUAAGAAAAUAAGAUCAAUGAAUUAGUUAACAUGAGCAUUCAUGGAAAACAUUCAUUCAUUCAUUAAUUAAAAGGUACAUUGAAAAUCACCAACAGAAAAAAAACUAAAACAUCUAAGAAAUUACAACGGUUAAAACAAUGUCAUUUGGUCCAUUCAUCAUUUGAAUGCAAUCAAUGUCGUAUUCCACCUUAUCCCAGAAACUUAUUGUUGCUCCGGUCACAGCAUCCGCCCUUGUUUUACGCCUUUUGAUGCUUCUGAUCUGUUUGCCGGAUUGGUACUCCCCCUCUAAAAAAGACAUGAGAGUCCUCUUGAGUUGCUUGACGGAAGAGAUAUUCCAAAACAUAACCGGCAUGGAAGGUUUGACGGAAGAGAAUAUGACAUAACCAGCAUGAAGACAGCUUCACUACAAGACAAAUACAUGAGUAGUUGAUUUAAUUAAAGAUAGUACAAAUACAUAACUAGUUGUUUUAAUAAAAGAUAGUACAAAUACAUGAAAUACUAGUUGAUUUAAUAAAAGAUAAUACAAAUACAUAAGUAGUACAAAUACAAAUAUAAAUAUUUAAGUAGUACAAAUACAAGUACAAAUACAUAAGUAGUACAAACACACGACAUACAAUUAAUUGUUGGUGGAGGUUGCUCCACGAUUAGGACAAGUAUUUUAAUUGUGCCCGACUUGACAACAUAUGCCACAUUUUCUUAUCAUUUUCUCAUGAUCAUCCAUUUUGGUUCGGAUCCGUGUGCUGUUUGGUCGACCUUUUUUCUUUCGCCGCAUGUUGUCAUUAUGCCAAACCACGCCCCCCUCAUACACAGGCCAAUAAUCCUCCUUUGUCAUCACUUGAAAUGCAUUGUUGUACACUCCGAGCAAGGUAUCCGCCUUGUAAAUGGGAGAUAAAAGUGCUAACAGAUCUUGGUGCGCAUACGAACAUGCUGCUAUGACAUGAGAGCAUGGCAUGCGAAAGGCUUAAAACUUUCCGCAGUCACACCACCCUUCGUCUAUAAGAACCCUGUAUUGUUGUCUCGGAAGACCCUCGUUAUGGUCAAUUGUUUCUUUGACAUUGAAGGCCCGGUUGAAUCGGUCGAACGAUGUAACAAUGUGGCUGCUGGCUUUGGCAGAUUGCUCUUUCAUGAAUUUGACGCAGGUUUCGCUGAAUACUUGUUCGGAUUCUAAAACUGCACUUCAACGCUCACCUCUUCCUGCGAAAAGAGAAGCCAUCCUAUAGUAUGUUGCUUGCACCAAGGAAGUAAUCGGAAGGUGUUUGAUGCCCUUAAACACUUCGUUCAUAGACUCCACAAGAUUUGUAAUCAUGUGCCCCCAUCGCUGCCCGUUGUCGUAUGAUCUGGUCCAUUUCUCUCUAGCAAGAUUAUUUAUCCAUCUGCCUGCAUCUGGAUUUGACGAUAGAAUUUCAUGUCGAUAAUAUUGGAACGUCAGUUGAGUCAAUGCAUAUCCAGCAUUGACAAGAGUCUUCCGAAGAACCUUAUCCCUUAUCUCUCGCAUGAAAUUUUGUGCGAUAUGUCGAAUACGGUAAACAUGCGUUAAAUGUAGGUUUUGCCACCCGUUUGCUGGAUUGUUGUACGCACUCUCGAUGGAAGCAUGCCUAUCUGAAAUCAAACAGAGCCCAUGUUGGGGGGCAACGUGUGAACAAAGAUUUUUGAGAAAGAAACCCCAACCUCCAGCAGUUUCUCCUUCCACAAGAGCGAACGCAACAGGAAAAAUGUUACUGUUUCCGUCUUGUGCCACAGCCAUCAACAAGGUCCCCUUAUAUUUUUCGUACAACCAAGUGCCAUCUAUUUGAAGAAUUAAUUUGCAAUACGCAAAUCCUUGAACACAUGGGCGGAAAGCCCAGAAAAGCCCUAUGGAAUAUCACAUUUCCUUGAAGGCACGUUCCGUCUAGAGAUUGCGCUGGAAGGGUCUCUAAAAUAGUAACGGUUCCAGUAGCAUAAAUUUGAAGCGCGGAUAAGAAACGUGGGAGUUGUUUGUAUGAAUCCUCUCAAUUUCCAUACACAAGUUUGAUCGCUUUAGUUUUCGCCAGCCAAGCCUUUCUAUAAGACGAAGUGUAAUUGUAAGUUGCAACGAUAUGAGAGAUUUUCGUUUUCACCUUUACUGACGAAUCUUUAUCUACUAGGGGCAAGAUUUCUUGACAUAUAAUAUCAUAACUUAGCUUACGGAGAUCUUGGGAAACAUUUGUGUUAACACACGUGUGAUCUUGGGAAAUAGCUCCUAUCACCCAUGAAUCACUUCACUUCUAGUAUGAUGCACCCAACUUGAAUCCACAGUCAGGGUUUCUACACUUAAUUUUAUACCUCUCAACAUUGGUGCGAUCAACUUUAAAAUCAACAUUGUUUACCAUAUGAAAUCUUUUUAUGGCCAUGAUACAUUCCUCCUGUGAACGAAAUCUGUCUUCUUCUUUUAACCGUGCAUCUGUUUGAGUGUAUGGAUCAUAGAAAAUAUCAGACGAUGGUUCAUCCCCAUCGAAGUUCAAGUUCCUCAUGUGCGCUGGAGGCAUGUGCACUUGAUUUGGUGGCACAACAACGUCCGGUUCGUCUUCACUUUCCUCGUUGACCAAGUGAUCAACUUCUAUUUCCGGUGCUUCUUCUUCAUCUACGACGUCAACCUCUGCUUGCUCGUCGACAAGUGAAUCAAUGACUUGUGACUUGACCAAUUGUGUGGGUUGAACUUCUGGUAGAGUAACAUACAGUUCUAUGUACUCGUAACCAGAAUACUCAUGAUUGGCGAACAUAUUCUGCAGGUCUUCAUCAUCUUUGACCUCAACUAGGAUAAACUUGACCGGGUUGUCCCCACAAAGAAAUCGAUAUUGGUAAAAUUUUUGGAAUACAUCACCCAGUGCAAGCUUCGUCUCUAAUCUCUGUUUGAAGUAACUGAAAUUUGCUUUUCUGCUUAAACAAAAUCGUGUAACCUCAGUGUUUUUAAACAAAAAACCAACUUCUUCAUUGUCAUAGGUCUCACCAAAAACAUGAGCGUUGAUAAUGUAUUUUGGAGGGGCUAUUGUUGAGUGUGUAAUGAGAUGUGUAAUUUUUCACAUUAGUGGCUUCCUUUAUGUAGACGAACAUUUGGUGAAGUCAAUUAGGGUUUAUGAAUGCAUACUGAUGGAAAAUGAAUGCCUAUAAAAAACACAGACGUACUGAGUUGAUUUGAGGUAUGCAUGACAUUGUUGCACAGUCGACUUGACCAGACACAACCAUAUUGAGUUGCACAUACCGUACAAUCACAUGCGAAAACAGUUGAUGAAAAAUGAAUGCAUGUAUCGUCACAGACGUGUACAAUUGAUUUGAGGUAUGCAUGACAUUGUUGCACAGUCGAGUUGCGCAUACUGUACACUAAUUAUUUGCGGUGAAACAACAAACCCUAUUCAAAUAGCAAACCCUAAAC